AUGAACGCUGGCGGCGUGCCUAAUCCAUGCAAGUCGAGCGAACGGACGAGAAGCUUGCUUUUCUGAUGUUAGCGGCGGACGGGUGAGUAACACGUGGAUAACCUACCUAUAAGACUGGGAUAACUUCGGGAAACCGGAGCUAAUACCGGAUAAUAUUUUGAACCGCAUGGUUCAAAAGUGAAAGACGGUCUUGCUGUCACUUAUAGAUGGAUCCGCGCUGCAUUAGCUAGUUGGUAAGGUAACGGCUUACCAAGGCAACGAUGCAUAGCCGACCUGAGAGGGUGAUCGGCCACACUGGAACUGAGACACGGUCCAGACUCUUACGGGAGGCAGCAGUAGGGAAUCUUCCGCAAUGGGCGAAAGCCUGACGGAGCAACGCCGCGUGAGUGAUGAAGGUCUUCGGAUCGUAAAACUCUGUUAUUAGGGAAGAACAUAUGUGUAAGUAACUGUGCACAUCUUGACGGUACCUAAUCAGAAAGCCACGGCUAACUACGUG
rnacentral:rRNA from 1 species